ACUAAAAUUAAUUUUCUUUACAAUUUGGUUUCAGGCUAUCUUUAUAAUUUUUUAUUAGUUUUGCGUUUGUUUAGAGUCCGCAAGCUCGUAGCUGAUUUCCUCCUUUAGAUACCGCCUGUCGACGGUUUGACAGCCUCACACAAUUGAACGUAUGCCAAAAAGCCAAAGUGAGCUCUUCCGAUCAGAAAAGUGACGGCGUAUCCAUUUAAUUGAAAAUAGGCACAAGAUAACGCACAAUUGGCGUUCUUGCCUCAAUGGAGAAAUUUUUCCGUGGAACUUAUGACCGAAAUACCAUUGCAGCUGUUCAAAAAAAAAGAAAAGUGUAUUAUCAUGCAGAUGUUGACUAGCUAACAAUCCAGAGAUACGUCAACUUGCGAAAUUUCUAGAUGUGUGUGAAGCGCAAUCAGCAUCCUUGUUGAACUGUGAACCCAAAUCAUGUAUUUUCCUAGAAAUAUCUAGGUUUUUGGAUAAAUAAAUAAAAGUCAGUGAAAAAAUGUGA